rnacentral:snRNA from 1 species
GUGCUCGCUCCGGCAGCACAUAUACUAAAAUUGGAACGAUACGGAGAAGAUUAGCAUGGCCCCUGUGCAAGGAUAACACGCAAA